UGGCUCGCGCCUCGGCGGUGCUCACCAGGCCUCGCUCUCCGCCGCCGCGAACCGAGAAGCAAGACUCAGCUCAGCCGGCGUUCGCAGUGCGCCUGCGUGCGGGGGCCGGCCCGAGCGCCUGCGCGCGUCUCUCCAGCGCUUGCCGCAGAGGCUGCCGGGAAAUGUAGUCUUAUAAGGCUCUCUCGCCAGACGCUCCUUGCUGCUAGCGCCCAGCCUGUGAAGAGUCGGGGAUGGGGGAGAGGGUCUCACUAAAAAGGAGAUCUGCAGGCCUUGGCAAAGGUUGGAGAAAGUUAUGUGUACAAACCUGUCUUUGCUAGGCUCUUCCAGGGCGGAUCGAUCCUCACCUCUGUAUGUCUAGCCUCUAACACAACUGGAGCUAGAGAUUUGCCUGCUGGCCUUGAAGAAGCAAGCUGUCAAGUUGUGUGAACCGCAUAUGGAGGAGACCACAUGGCAGCGAACUGCAGAUUGCUUCUAGAACUUGAGUGCAGCCUCCAGCUGACAAUCAGUAAGAAGCCAGGGCCCUCACUCAUACAACUACAAUCAAAUGAAUUCUGCCAGCAACCUGAGAGAGGUCAGUCUCCAGAUGAGAAGACAGCCUGACUUAUAUCUUGAUAGCAGUUUUGUGAGACCCUGAGCAAAGGAAACAGCUAAACUGUGCCUGGACUCCUGGUCCACAGAAACUGUGAGAUAAUAAAUGUGUCUUAAAAUACUA